rnacentral:rRNA from 1 species
CGGUUACGUAUUGCUCCUGGAGCAUCAGGUAUGGCGCAAGGGUUCGAUCAUGGCUCAGAUUGAACGCUGGCGGGAUGCUGUGCAAGUCGAACAGCGGCACGGACUUCGGUCUGGUGGCGAGUGGCGAACAGGUGAGUAAUGUAUCGGAACGUGCCUAGUAGCGGGGGAUAACUACGCGGCGUAGCUAAUACCACGCAUACGCCCUUCGGGGAAAGCGAGGACCUUCAGGGCUGCACUAUUAAACGGCCGAUAUCGGAUUGGCCUAGUUGGUGGGGGUAACGGCUCGCAAGGCGACGAUCCGUAGCUGGUUUGAGAGGACGACCAGCCACACUGGGACGGACGCAGCCCAGACUCCUGCGGGAGGCAGCAGUGGGGAAUUUUGGACAAUGGGAAGCCCUGAUCCGGCCAUCGCGUGUGCGAUGAGGCCUUCGGGUUGUAAAGCACUUUUGGCAGGAAAGAAACAGCACGGGAUAAUGCCCCGUGCAACUGACUGAUACCUGCAGAAUAAGCACCGGCUAACUACGUGCCCAGCAGCCGCGGUAAUACGUAAGGUGCAAGCGUUAAUCAAGAUUAUGGGCGUAAAGCGUGCGCAGGCGGUUCGGAAAAGAUGUGAAAUCCCAGAGCUUAACUUUUGGAACUGCAUUUUUAACUACCGAGCUAGAGUGUCAGGGAGGUGGGUUACGUGUAGCAGUGAAAUGCGUAGAUAUGCGGAGGAACACCGAUGGCGAGCAGCCUCCUGGGAUAACGACGCUCAUGCACAGCGUGGGGGCAAACAGGAUUAGAUACCCUGGUAGUCCACGCCCUAAACGAUGUCAACUAGCUGUUGAGGCCUUCGGGCCUUGGUAGCGCAAUAACGCGUGAAGAGUUGACCGCCUGGGGAUACGGUCGCAAGAUUAAAACUCAAAAUUGACGGGGACCCGCACAAGCGGUGGAUGAUGUGUGGAUUGAAGACUAAAUUACUGCUUGCGAAAAACCUCCUACCCUUGACAUGUCACCGUCCCGAAGAGAUUUGGGAGUGCUCGCAAGAGAACCGGAACACAGGUGCUGCAUGGCUGUCGUCAGCUCGUGUCGUGAGAUGUUGGGUUAAGUCCGCAACGAGCACAACCCUUGUCAUUAGAUUGCUACGAAAAGGGCACUCUAAUGAGACUGCCGGUGACAAACGGAGGAAAGUGCAGGGGAUGACGUCAGGUCCUCAUGGCCCUUAUGGAUAGGGCUUCACACGUCAUACAAUGGUCGGGACAGAGGUCGCCAACCCGCGAGGAGCCAAUCCCAGAAACCCGAUCGUAGUCCGGAUCGCAGUCUGCAACUCGACUGCGUGAAGUCGGAAUCGCUGGUAAUCGCGGAUCAGCAUGUCGCGGUGAAUACGUUCCGGGUCUUGCCACACCACGCCCGUCACACCAUGGGAGUGGGUUUUACCGAAGUAGUUAGCCUAACCGUAAGGAGGGCGAUUACCACGGUAGGAUUCAUGACUGGGGGUGAAGUCGUAACAAGGUAG